CGGGGUGUAGCGCAGUCGGCUAGCGCGCCUGUCUUGGGAACAGGAGGUCGCUGGUUCAAGUCCAGUCACCCCGACCA
rnacentral:tRNA from 1 species